UGGCCUAUUUUGCUCUAUAACAGUACGGAACCCUUGGUGCGUGAGCUCAACUCGCACUUGAUGGAUUAUUAUGUAUGAAGUCAGUCAACCUAGGCAGAUGUUAGAAAAACUUUUCUACUUUUGAUUUUUUCUAAUUUCUAGUAGGAUAGUAAACAUCUUAAACCUUAUGCAUUUUUUCCAGAUAAACUUAUGUCUACUACCGAAAAGAUAAACAUGAAUAUGGCAAUUGAAGCAAGCACUGAAAUAAAUGAGACAGAGGCACAUAUUUAUCAAGGUGGACCAGUGCUUACUAAUGUCCAUAAAACAUAUGGUACUGAUAAUUUUGUACCAAUAC